GACGGACGCGGUGGCGCGGGCCUGUAGUCCCAGCUACUCGGGAGGCUGAGACGGGAGGAUCGCUUGAGCCCAGGAGUUCUGGGCUGUAGUGCGCUAUGCCGAUCAGGUGUCCGCACUAAGUUCGGCAUCAAUAUGGUGACCUCCCGGGAGCGGGGGACCACCAGGUUGCCUAAGGAGGGGUGAACCGGCCCAGGUCGGAAACAGAGCAGGUCAAAACUCCCGUGCUGAUCAGUAGUGGGAUCGCGCCUGUGAAUAGCCACUGCACUCCAGCCUGGGCAACAUAGCGAGACCCCGUCUCU
rnacentral:SRP_RNA from 1 species